rnacentral:rRNA from 1 species
UACGUAGGGCGCAAGCGUUAUCCGGAAUUAUUGGGCGUAAAGAGCUCGUAGGCGGUUUGUCGCGUCUGCCGUGAAAGUCCGGGGCUCAACUCCGGAUCUGCGGUGGGUACGGGCAGACUAGAGUGAUGUAGGGGAGACUGGAAUUCCUGGUGUAGCGGUGAAAUGCGCAGAUAUCGGGAGGAACACCAGUGGCGAAGGCGGCACUCUGGGCCGGUACUGACGCUGAGGAGCGAAAGCGUGGGGAGCGAACAGG